UUCUUUAUACACCAAAAGGGGGUGAAUUAGUGAUGUUUCAAAAAUAUGUUCUUUUCGCAAUCUUGCAAACAAAGUAUAAAGUUUUUUCAAGUUUCUUGAAAUGCAAGCAAUCAGAAAAUGUAUGCAGCGAAAAAAACGUAGUAGUCUACGUUAGAAAUAUAGUCGACUGGAAUGUAAAAGAUAAGGGAUAGAGAAAAUCAAAUACAACUUUUUAUACUGGUUCGGCCAACAAUGCCUACAUCUAAUGUCCUUCCACCUGGAAGCAAAUGCACUAUAAUGGUUGCGGUUUUUACAACAAGGAAUUUAUAGAAGACCUCCACGUCAAAAAUAUAAAUCUCCUCUCUUACCCAAAACCAAAACAUAGUUACACAACAAAACUAGAAUUGCAGCAAGAAUCCCCUCUUCUUCAAUCUGCAACACCACUUUGAACAAUCCUCAAAGUGCACUAUUCCCCUGUAUCACAACAGGUACAAUUCCAGCAGUCUUCACAGGAUGCCAAGCCUUGAUCACAAUUCAGCAGUCUUCACAGGAUGUCAAGCCUUCAACUCGAUCUAACAGAAGCAAGUUACUUGUGCAGGUAAUGAUCGGCAAGUGUAAGCGCACAAUGUCUCCUCAAUGAAUCUCGUUCAAGAAAGAUCACCAUCGUCUUCUUGGAGAAUUCUUGGAGCUAAGACAAAUCUGAAACAAAAAGAAAAUUGUCAGUUUAUCAAAAGUCUUAGAACAAACUCGUGUUCAGUCUAUUUAUGGAUUUCUGUUAAUCAGUCAAAUUUUCAGUCGAAUGUGCUACUAAUUCAGUCGACUGUAUUAUGACAGUUAUAACAAAAUCUACACAAAGACUUUAGCAUAGUCGAAUCCAUUUACUAUGUAAUCGAAUGUACUAGAACUUUGUCACAC
rnacentral:lncRNA from 1 species